CUCUUUAUUGUAAUUGGAGAUAAAUAUAGAAUUGAA
rnacentral:sRNA from 10 species